AUACGUAGGGUGCAAGCGUUAAUCGGAAUUACUGGGCGUAGAGCGUGCGCAGGCGGUUUUGUAAGACAGUGGUGAAAUCCCCGGGCUCAACCUGGGAACUGCCAUUGUGACUGCAAGGCUGGAGUGCGGCAGAGGGGGAUGGAAUUCCGCGUGUAGCAGUGAAAAGCGUAGAUAUGCGGAGGAACACCGAUGGCGAAGGCAAUCCCCUGGGCCUGCACUGACGCUCAUGCACGAAAGCGUGGGGAGCAAACAGGAUUAGAUACCCUGGUAGUCCACGCCCUAAACGAUGUCAACUGGUUGUUGGGGGUUUAUUUUCUCAGUAACGAAGCUAACGCGUGAAGUUGACCGCCUGGGGAGUACGGCCGCAAGGUUAAAACUCAAAUGAAUUGACGGGG
rnacentral:rRNA from 1 species